rnacentral:tRNA from 1 species
UGUCCCGUGGUGUAAUGGUAGCAUAUCAGUUUCUGGCACUGCUUGUUCGGGUUCGAAUCCUGACGGGACAA